AUUACCGAGUUUACAACUCCCAAACCCAAUGUGAACGUUACCAAACUGUUGCCUCGGCGGGAUCUCUGCCCCGGGUGCGUCGCAGCCCCGGACCAAGGCGCCCGCCGGAGGACCAACCAAAACUCUUAUUGUAUACCCCCUCGCGGGUUUUUUAUAAUCUGAGCCUUCUCGGCGCCCCUCGUGGGCGUUUCGAAAAUGAAUCAAAACUUUCAACAACGGAUCUCUUGGUUCUGGCAUCGAUGAAGAACGCAGCGAAAUGCGAUAAGUAAUGUGAAUUGCAGAAUUCAGUGAAUCAUCGAAUCUUUGAACGCACAUUGCGCCCGCCAGUAUUCUGGCGGGCAUGCCUGUCCGAGCGUCAUUUCAACCCUCGAACCCCUCCGGGGGGUCGGCGUUGGGGAUCGGCCCUCCCUCUGCGGGGGCCGUCUCCGAAAUCCAGUGGCGGUCUCGCCGCAGCCUCUCCUGCGCAGUAGUUUGCACACUCGCACCGGGAGCGCGGCGCGUCCACAGCCGUUAAACACCCAACUUUCUGAAAUGU
rnacentral:rRNA from 1 species